rnacentral:rRNA from 1 species
GUCCACGCCCUAAACGAUGUCUACUAGUUGUCGGUUUAAUUAACUUGGUAACGCAGCUAACGCGUGAAGUAGACCGCCUGGGAGUACGGUCGCAAGAUUAAACUCAAGGAAUUGACGGGACCCGCACAAGCGGUGGAUGAUGUGGAUUAAUUCGAUGCAACGCGAAACCUUACCUACCCUUGACAUGGAUGGAAUCCCGGAGAGAUUUGGGAGUGCUCGAAAGAGAACCAUCACACAGGUGCUGCAUGGCUGUCGU